CUCUCGCCCCCGUGGUCGGGGUCUUCAAUAUUUGGUGGACUGGGAGGGGUACGGCCCGGAGGAACGCUCCUGGAUUCCCCGGUCCAACAUCGAGGACCCCUCUCUCAUCUCGGACUUCGAGGCCUCCAGAUCCGGUGAGGAGCAGGGGGAGCGGCAGCUGCAGGAGAUUUCCCAAUCAGGGACGCGGGUUCAAAAGGAGGAUGGAGACACAUCACUUUGCCGGAUGAUUGCACCAGUUUAGGAUCAUCUCAUCAUCUACUCACCCUCGCUGUCUUCGUUUUCUGGAACAUACUCAUCACGUCCCAUCCUCCUCCGCCGUUCCUGUUUGGCUUUCCCUCUGCUACCUCACCCCUCCUGGAUCUCUCAUCCUCUGCCCAGCGUCCUCCCCGGCUUCCCCUCCUCUACUGAUUAACCUGAGCACCUCAGAGACUCGAGCCGUAUUGCUCAUCCCACAGGACUUCCCUGUGCGGUUUCAGUUCCCGUUUUUAUAAUAAAGACAUUUUACUUUA